rnacentral:piRNA from 1 species
UGUGUGUUUGCGUGCGCAUGUGUAGAGGA